GGAUGAACGCUAGCGGCAGGCUUAAUACAUGCAAGUCGAGGGGCAGCAGGUCCCGCAGCAAUGCGGGAUGCUGGCGACCGGCAAACGGGUGCGGAACACGUACACAACCUUCCUUUAAGCGGGGAAUAGCCCGGGGAAACCCGGAUUAAUACUCCAUAGUAUAUUGAAAAGGCAUCUUUUUAAUAUUAAAGAUUUAUCACUUAAAGAUGGGUGUGCGGCUGAUUAGGUAGUUGGCGGGGAACGGCCCACCAAGCCUACGAUCAGUAACUGGUGUGAGAGCACGACCA
rnacentral:rRNA from 1 species